UUUCCAUCUCGGUCACCCCUAGCUGCCCUCGACCUCCCACUCGACCACCCUCAACCAGCCAGCGCCUAAGUACCGACUUAGUCACUGCGGUGACUAACCAUCCCUUGAAGAAUCAAUGCUCCUAUGACUGCCAGGGCAAUUGAUCGUCACCUUCACCUCUCUCUGUUACUUUCUGACCUCUUGCACGUGAUACCUGAUCCACAGUCAACUAAGGGUUGAAAACUGUCACAUCGAUAUUCCAUCCACGCCAUCCGAGUAAACAAACCUGAAAAACACCGGUUGGAACUGCGAGACUUGCACCUUGUGCCGAAACAAGCAAAAAUCCAUGACAAGAAUUUCUCUUGGCGCAUUAUUCUCUUGAGCUGUUACUUCAGGUUAACGUAUAUCUACAAGAGACCUUAUGGCGCAGCACCCGCGUCUCAAGGGUCGAUGCGCAAUAUGUGCCUCGUCAUUCGUUUUAACACUCAACUGCUGAACGUAGCCCUCGAGUUUCUAAGAUCGAUUGACGUUACGUCGUUCUGUCGAUAGAGAGAAAAAAAAUAUAUGGAAAUUCGCCAUCAACUGGGAAUACCCUGGUGCGAGGUCUUCACCUAGAGUCGCUGCGUCAAAACUAGCUCGAUGAACAUUAACCUUAAUCGCAUUUGGCUUUUUGCCAGAGAGAUUCCCAGCUCCCAAGUGGCACUCGAAUCUGUAUAUAUUAUAUAUACAUAUACUGUACAGGACAUACAGAAAAUUAAAAUCCUGAGCAGCACCGGAGUCCCUUCCUGUUACCAGCAUCGAUCAUGAUUAAGGAAUUUAAGAGACAAUGUGGAGAUUUGAUGUUUACCAGCUUGUCCCAACUGCCUCAUUUACAUGAGUGUCCGAGGCCAAAGGAUCCUUGCCGCAGGAUCAACGUACUCUGUUGUGCGCGCCUACUACACGGUUAACUUGUACCUUGAAGGAGGACGAACGCGAGGAUGGAGGAAGCAGAAGGAAAGGCGCGUGCCUCGAGUCACUGAACGCAUUACAAUUAUGAUAAUAGAGGAAGGAAGCCAUGAUCACUCUCUACGCGUUGGCAGCUCAGAAUAUAUAUUCGAGAUGAUGUGACCGACUUAAAGGGCGAAGACAUCCCAAAGGUGUCCAUUCCUGAACGUCCUAGGGUGCCAAUGAACCUGACUUCAUCGUAGUCGACGUAGACUCUACCUAGGCAUCUCUAUGUAAUUGAUAGAGAUUCAGUGAACCCUUGUCCUACUUGGAGGGCACUCUACUCCAGCGUAGUCAACGCUGCACUACUUUCCGGCCGACCCUAUCGACUCUCGCUUACUGCGAUCUACGCUACGAGAGUUCAUCCUAGAAAUCUCCAUUCCCGUUUACCAUUCACCAGCUCGAGAAGCCAGCCAGCUAGCUCGGUGCUAGCAAUAUCUUGGGAAUUCGCGUGGAAGCCAAAAUGUCAGAAUACCAAUUCUUGUUUAUGCAAUUUUUUGCAUCUUGAGUUCCUUUUCAGGAUGAUCCCGGAUGAAACGUGCCAAGGUCGAUUCACAUAGAUGUUUCCUAGAACACUCAUUCUGGGUGCAGCCAGGUACCAAAUUCCAUCUGAUUUGCAUAGAGGCAUUAUCAAGGCCAGAUGACGGUCGAACAUCCAAUGCAAUUUCUUAUUCGGGUUCAUCAUUGUGUAUUCUGAGAAUUGCAGGGAACCUGGAGACUGUUGUUGUACUUCAUGGAAUCCGCUCUAAAGUUUCAAUCGAUCAUUCAACCAAUCUAGUCCAUGGCCGCAACGCGACGAUCGAUCCUCCCUGCCGCCAUUGCGAAAAGAGACACGGUGCAUCCUGGCUGCAUUGAUGCAUCGAUCCUGGUGUCUUGCGCUUUUUGGCCAAUUGGCUUUGACAGCCAGGAAAUUAGUUAAUUGCGGCACCCCGAUGGGAACCCGAAUAUCGACUCCUCACGAUGCUCUAAAAUGUUCUACAUCCGGUCCAAGUACGUUACCAGUUGCAGGCGCAGGGACCAAACAGAUAACAUUAUCAGUUCCUGGGCUGUUCUUUACUGUUAUUUAACCCUUUGAAUGCGAAGCUCUUCAGAUUUAAACCCAUGCCGGACAUGUAUAUGCGCCGAUAGCACUAAAACCUUUAAAUUUCUUAUAAAAUAUUAAUGAAAUUCUCAUUAAUCCACGCGAUAGCCCAUCUCAAAAACUUCUAGAAGCUCUACGCGUUCCUUGAUACCUUUAACUGUACUGCGUCUUCGAGUCCUUGUACGCACUGCGUAAAAUCUGACCUAUUGAUUCUUCCCAAUAGAGAAACAGGGUGUAUAGUCCAUCGUUCCCGCUGCUCCACUAAAGGCAAAGGAAGAUCGACGUAUCUCAGCUUGAUUGAGAGUGAAACUACUGCGACACCAGUAGCCUCCAGCUCUGCACCUUGUGGACGUCUUUUAUUUCAUGCACGUUCAAUUGCACAGCAUCCCACUCAGGUUCUAAAAUAUCAUCAAGCAAUCAUUUGCAUGUACAACCAAUACUUUAAAUCUCGGUUGAACAGUUUUUUUUUGGUAUUGUCAAUUGACACACAAGCAUUUUGCUUAUUUAUUAUAUUUUUUUCUUUUACGCCAGUAAAGAAGUCACGACGUUAGUCGCUCUCUGAUCAGCAUCCAUUGCGUCUGAAUCAUUUUAGGAAGAACCAGUCUACCGUGAAGCAGUCUGUAUCAUCAGAAGCGCUACUGGUAGCAUUGUGGAUCUAUAUAUCCUAGAAUAUCCUAUACCUCAAUAGUAUAUAGGAUACUUGCACAAGUACUUUAAAGCUAAUGAUCUAAUUC